rnacentral:rRNA from 1 species
GGCUAAUCUGCCCUUGGGAUAGGAAUACCCCCGGGAAACUGGGGCUAAUUCCCAAUAGGUGAAGAACUCUGGAAUGAGUCUCCACCAGAAAAGAGCUUACGUUAUGCUCGUAAGUUUCGCCCAAGGAUGAGGCCGCGACCGAUCAGGUUGUUGGCGAGGUAAUGGCUCACCAAGCCUUUUACCGGUGCGGGCCGUGGGAGCGGGAGCCCGGAGAUGGGUACUGAGACAAGGACCCAGGCCCUACGGGGCGCAGCAGUCGCGAAAACUUUGCAAUAAGCGCAAGCUUGACAGGGCUAUCCCGAGUGCCAUCCGCUGAGGAAGGCUUUUACCCAGUCUAGAACGCUGGGGGAAUAAGGAGAGGGCAAGUCUGGUGUCAGCCGCCGCGGUAAUACCAGCUCUCCGAGUGGUGUGGAUGUUUAUUGGGCCUAAAGCAUCCGUAGCUGGCUAAGUUAGUCCCCUGUUAAAUCCACCGAAUUAAUCGUUGGAUCGCGGGGGAUACUGCUUGGCUAGGGGACGAGAGAGGCAGACGGUAUUUUCGGGGUAGGGGUGAAAUCCUAUAAUCCCGGGAAGACCACCAGUGGCGAAGGCUGUCUGCUAGAACGCGCCCGACGGUGAGGGAUGAAAGCUGGGGGAGCGAACCGGAUUAGAUACCCGGGUAGUCCCAGCUGUAAACGAUGCAGACUAGGUGUUUGGACGGCCACGUGCCGUUCUAGUGCCGCAGGGAAGCUGUUAAGUCUGCCGCCUGGGGAGUACGAUCGCAAGAUUGAAACUUAA